rnacentral:rRNA from 1 species
UACGAAGGGGGCUAGCGUUGUUCGGAUUUACUGGGCGUAAAGCGCACGUAGGCGGAUACUUAAGUUAGGGGUGAAAUCCCAGGGCUCAACCCUGGAACUGCCUCUAAUACUGGGUAUCUCGAGUCCGAGAGAGGUGAGUGGAAUUCCGAGUGUAGAGGUGAAAUUCGUAGAUAUUCGGAGGAACACCAGUGGCGAAGGCGGCUCACUGGCUCGGUACUGACGCUGAGGUGCGAAGGCCAGGGG